CCUUAACUGGCCGCCGGGGGGCUCACGCCCCCGGGCCCGCGCCCGCCGAAGACACCCCCGAACUCUGCCUGAAGAUUGUCGUCUGAGUGAAAAUAUAAAUUAUUUAAAACUUUCAACAACGGAUCUCUUGGUUCCGGCAUCGAUGAAGAACGCAGCGAAAUGCGAUACGUAAUGUGAAUUGCAAAUUCAGUGAAUCAUCGAGUCUUUGAACGCACAUUGCGCCCCCUGGUAUUCCGGGGGGCAUGCCUGUCCGAGCGUCAUUGCUGCCCUCAAGCCCGGCUUGUGUGUUGGGCCCCGUCCUCCGAUUCCGGGGGACGGGCCCGAAAGGCAGCGGCGGCACCGCGUCCGGUCCUCGAGCGUAUGGGGCUUUGUCACCCGCUCUGUAGGCCCGGCCGGCGCUUGCCGAUCAACCCAAAUUUUUAUCCAGGUUGACCUCGGAUCAGGUAGGAAUACCCGCUGAACUUAA
rnacentral:rRNA from 1 species